rnacentral:sRNA from 12 species
GGUUUUAGGCAAAACCUAUCUGUAAGGGUGUGACGAGCCUAGAUAGGUACUUAACCUCUAAUUCGAUAAGCCGUCAGUGUCCGAUAGGGUACUGAUUGUGAUGACGACUAGAAAGUCAGCGGGUGGAAGCAUCUGUGCGUGGGUUAGGUAGCCUCAUAUACAUGAACGACUGAUGUAGAGUUCGAUUGGGGAGAUAAGUAUCUAAUGCGUGUCAUUAGGUCACCUCGGUAUGACUAGGGUGAGAGCUAGGAACCGUAGAGGUGUUCUCAAGGGAAUCCUUUGCAGUGACGUCCUCGUAAGUGGACUAUAACAGUAGAACUCGUAUUAGUAGCCUAAUACUGCAGCCCUUUUUGGGGUUUGUUGUCCAUAUAGUUUAAGAUGGAAACAUAUUACAAGAUAUUUACUCUUGUUAGGUGAAAGUUGAUGGUCGCCGAGCCAGUCCGUACAUCCAAAAAGGACUCUAUGUAGUAGGAAGUCGAGAGCCUAUGAGAGUUAGAGUCGGUACGAAACAUCUAUUGUCUGCAGUGUAUGUGUUGGUAGGGCUAAAAACCCUUGCCUAUUU